AAAAAAUUAACGCUUGAAACUGCGGUGAGAAAUUAUUUUACGACGUUAGGAGAAGACUGCAUUUUGGGAUAGAAAAUAGUGAAAUACUGGUAAUGUAGCCAGUAAAUGAAAAUUGUGUAGAAUUAGCCAAAUGCAAGUUUAAUAAAUAACAAUUACAACACAUACAUAUGUAUGUUUUCUUGUAUUCAGUGUAAUGUUCAGACGAUUCAGUUGUCCAUAUAGUGUAUAAUAUUUCCAGUCGAUUGGAGCAAAACUGAUGAAAUUACCGAAUAUUUUAAUAUAAUAUUCCUGUACACAAUUUACGAGUAACAAAUUACCCGAAUUUUUCGCAAAAGAUCGUGUACCAAAAAAUUUAAAAUUUAAAUUUCAAACAACUCACGGUGUUAAGCUAAUUAUCUAGCGAUGAAUGGUUCUUAAAUUUCGGAUGAUUUAGCACCAAAUUAUGAGGAUAAGCUCAAGCUUCUUUCAAGCCACGUUCAAAUAAUUGUUAUUUUAUAAUAUUAAUUCGUGAAAACCACAUUCUUCGAAUGUCAUACUUUAAUGUACUAUUGGGUUUUAUAAAGGGAUUUUAACUGUGUUGUCAACUUGUGUUGUGUUAAACAAUGUAGGCAAAAAUGUAUAACACUUUUAAAAAUAUAUGCAAUAUUUAUACAAAUGUUUUCGAUAAACACACAUUCAAAAACUAAAUAAUAAAACGCGGCUUAAUCUUACUUUUUGAAAAUAUAUAUAAAUAUAUAAGAAUUAAUCAAUGUGUUAUUACACAUUAUUUCCCUUGUAAUUAUCUUGAAGAGUCCCGACCAAUCCACUUUGAUAAAAAAUAUGAGUUAUUUUAUAAAAAAAAAUACUACUUGGGUACGUACACAAAUAUGUACAUAAAAACCAUAUACAACAUAUACAAAGUCAAAUAACAAGUAAUAAAAAAAUUACAAGUCGUUGUAUGUGUUUAUUUUGCUGGUGUUUUGCUGACUAGUUCAAUUUUAUUUAGGAAAUUCUAGAUGUAGACUAGUAUAUCUCCAUACUAGUUUUAAGCUUCACUAAAGAGUAUUUAUGAUUAGGUUUGUUGGCAUACUAUUUGUCGACUGUUGCGGUUAACCACUAAUUAAGAAUAUAUUAUAAACUCGAUACUCGGUGACAUACAUAAACAGAGUGAAAUAAACAGUUAUAUAUGUAGUAUACAUACACUUUGAAUUAAAUAAAUAAAUAAAAAAAUUCGAAGUCCAAAUCACGAAAUUAACAUACUCACAUAUGUAAAGCAUAAAUUUAUUUAUAACACUUUCUUUGGUUCUAAAUUAAUUUCCUUUACUUAACUAUAGUCCAUACAUAUUCGUACAUAAAUAUUUGAAUUGGAUUGUAAAUUACAUACAUAUGUAUGUAUGUUUUUAGCACAUUUUAAUUGAAACGAUUUCGGUUUAUUAUUUGGAUAUCAAUAAGCUUGCAUACAGGGUAUGCCAUAUUUUAGAUCAAGUUGUGGUGAUUGAUUAACUUAAACGGAUCCUUUAGUUUUAAUAACAAUCGGUAUAUAUGUACCUAUUAAUAUACAAAUAAAUACACUUAAUCGUCAUUUAAAUAUGUAUGUAUGAAUUAAAAAAAAACUGUUUUAAUGAGCUUUGCAAAAAAAGUAUAACCCAAUGGAAGUGUAAAGACAAAGCGUACAGAUGCACAUAGACUCAAGAUCGAACAAUUCAUUUGAAAAAUUGUUUCCUUACAGUGAGUGUCUUUCACUGUGUGAACACAAAAAAUGGUCGUUCAAACAACUUUUAAAAAAAUAUCAUUUAUUGAAAGUUAUUUUACAUAGUUUGAUGACAUUACAUAGUUAUGCAGCGAAUUCAGCUAAAAUCCCGGAACUUAAUACAAGGCUUUAGUGAAUGAGUGUAGGUUGAUAUGAAGAUUUAAAAAUCGUGUAAAAAAAAGCAUUUCGUAUUAAGAUAACAUAUAAUAUCAACUGCUAGAUGCAUUUCAACCGAAUUCGGUGACAUUCAUAAAUGUACAAUAUGAAGUGAAUUUAGCUAAGUAAAUGAAAAAUUGAACAUAUUUUUAAUUUAAAUUUAUUGA